GUUUCCGUGGUGUAGCGGUUAUCACAUCUGCCUAACACGCAGAAGGUCCCAGGUUCGAUCCCUGGCGGAAACA
rfam:Drosophila willistoni strain TSC#14030-0811.24 scf2_1100000004516 genomic scaffold, whole genome shotgun sequence.